UUCAUCCAUUCACUCACUCAUCCACCUUUCAUCCAUCCAUCCACCAUUCAUCCACCAUCCACCCACCCAUCCUACCACCCAUCAAUCCAUCCACUCACCCAUACAUCCACCACACACUCAUCUAUCUAUCCAUCCAUUCAUCCAUCCAUCCACCCUUCCAUUUAUCCAUCCACACACCCAUUCAUCCACCCUUCCAUCCAUCCACCCACCCAUCUAUCCACCACACAUCCAUCCAUCUACCCACUCAUCCAUCCACUCAUCCAUCCAUCCUCCAUUCACUUAUCCCUCACCUGUCCAUUCAUUCACCCAUGCAUGCAUACAUGCCUCCACCCUUCUAUCCACCCAUCCAUCCAUCCGCCCACUCAUCCACAGUUGCAUCCCCUCAUUCUAUGCAUUUUCCUUGAACAACUCAAACACACCAGUCUAGAGCUUGGAGUGGGGAGGAAAAGAUUAGAAGGGAAAGAGCCAGGCCCAGUUUCUGCCUUCUGGGGUGACAGACAAGCCAAGUGGCUGCACCUGUCCACAUGGAGAAGGGUUAGCUGGCAGCAGCACUGAGUGCUAAGAGGGCCAGGGAGGUUGUGUCCCGUGAAGGAGUGGGGCUUCCUAGGACAGACAGUAUAGCUGAGAUACUGGAGGCAUUGUCUCCUGGGCCACACUAGUUCAGCCCACGUGUCUUUUGAUAUGGUGUGGAGGAGACAGCACAAAUGUCCGUGUUGACAACCCACGCAGGGGUGGUGCCGCCAGCCUGCCCACGAGCCAUCUGCUGGGUUCCUUCCCUUUCCUGAGCAUGCUGGAGCCGUGGGCUGCCGCGCUCCCUGCACCGUGGGCAGAUGCACGUGGGCCUUGGGCUCCUGCCCCACAAGGCACCCAGCAGGUUUGCAUCCUGAUGGAGAAGGGGCGGCCUGGUAUGGUCAGUGGGACCUGGGGCGCUCCUCCCAGGGGCACAGUACCUGACAGUUCAGGAGGUGCUUCUGUCUUCAGGGUUUUGUUCAGUUCCUGUGACCAUCCAUCCUGGGAGGGGCAAGGCAGGGCCCCUUGCUGCCUCCUAGAAGUGAAGACUGGGGCCCAGGUGCCAGUGACUGUGCAUGGCAUGAGCCUGCAGAGCUGGGCAGGGCAGGGCUUUGAGUUCUGUGUGCUUCAACCCCUCCUCCGAGGGAGCAGUAAUGGUGCAGUGGGAGGGCACAGGCUCCAGAGGUGAUGGCAGUGGUGCCCUGUGGGUGUGGUUUCCACCCACGCAGGGCCAGGAUUAAGUACUUGGUGUAUGGGGGUAGGCAGAACGGUGGAGGGCAGUGCCCUGGACGCUGCAAUGGUGCCUCUGGCCAGGCUGUUUACUUUGGCAAACAGUACUUGUGUGUAUGUGUGUCUGUGUGAGUGUGUUCUUAGAAUACAUGCCAUCCCUCCUGUCCUUGGGAAGGCAUUCAUCUGGGCACCUGCUAAUGAGCUGGAGACUCAGUUGUUCGCUGUACACACUCUUGAGCUCCCGUGUUGGGCUUGGCCCUGUGCCUAUGGGGAGUCAGUCUCAGGUCUGUCCUCAUAGGCACUCUUGACCUUUGUGGCGGGACCACCCUUGGUUGUGAAGGGCCGGCCUGAGCAGCAUCCCGGCCUGAGCAUCACGCCAGCCUGAGCGGCAUCCCGGCCUGAGCAUCACGCCAGCCUGAGCGGCAUCCCGGCCUGAGCAUCACGCCAGCCUGAGCGGCAUCCCGGCCUGAGCAGCAUCCCCGGCCUGAGCGGCAUCCCGGCCCGAGUGGCAUCCCCAGCCUGAGCGGCAUCCCCGGCCUGAGUGGCAUCCCCAGCUUGAGCAUCGCGCCAGCCUGAGUGGCAUCCCGGCCUGAGCAGCAUCCCGGCCUGAGCAGCAUCCCAGCCCGAGUGGCAUCCCCGGCCUGAGUGGCAUCCCCGGCCUGAGCGGCAUCCCCGGCUUGAGCAUCGCACCAGCCUGAGCGGCAUACUGGCCUGAGCAGCAUCCCCGGCCUGAGCAGCAUCCCUGGCCUCUGCCCCCUUAAUGCAGCUGCUCCCUCCGCCCAGGCAUUGGCGGCUGUAGAGCAGACCCUCUGCUGCGCUCCUGGUGCUUGUGGAUGGGGACAGAGGAGAAAUGGGACGAGUGUGCUGAGGGUGGUGCCCACAAAGAUGGGGAGCCCCAGAGGCAGCAGGGUGCCCUUGGGGUACAGGAGAGUCAUGGGGGGAGGCGGCUUCUCAGCUGAAACCAGAGGCCUCACAAGAGGCAUUCAGAUGAGGAGACAGGGGACGGGCAUCCCAAGCCCAGGAGGCAGGCGAGUGGGCACGGGGUGGGGGCCAGGUUGGGUGUGGGGGCCGGGAGGGGGCCCAGCCAGUCCCAGAGCAGAGGGCAGGAGUGGCCAUGGGAGGCCCCUUUGUGGUCUGGGCCCUGCUCUGGCUGGUGAUGGGCUGUGUGGGAAGUGGGGGCAGGGGCCAGGGUCUCGGGCAUCUGGGAGGAGAAGGGGCUUUGCAGAGCUGGGGAGCUGGGGUGUCAGGCAGGGCAGGCUGUGCCCAGGGCACCUGGUCACCCUGACUCAGCUUUCUUACCUCUUUCCCUUGCUUUCCUGCCCGCUCCAGGUCUGUGCUCUUGGAAGUGCCAGCUCCGGCUUCUGGCAGGAUGAGAGCUGAGCGAUUGGGAGCUUCCGUGGUGGGCAGAUCAGAGAGCAAUAAUUAGAGGCUUAGGCUCACGGCUGCAUGAAGAGGCACACAGGGCCUCCGCAGAGAAGGUGGUUAGUCACCGGCCUCACUGCCCUGGCCUGGUCUGGCUGACCCGGUGUGAUGUUGUGUACAGCGCCUGUGAGACACAGAGGUGGGACUCAGACACCCACGGGGCCUGAGGCUUCGGGGGCUCAGAUUCGGGGUUGAGCCCCUUUGACAGGGUUCUUUGAGGGGCAGGGGCCCCCCGACCUCUCGAUCAUACCACACUGGGCAGAGCACUUCAUAGGUGACACACCUUCUCCCCACCUCCAGAGGUGCCCAGGAGGAAGCUACCUAUUCAUGCUGCAAUGCUGGAGAGCUGAAACCCAGACACCACAAAUUUGGACGAACAGCUGUGACAGCCAGUGUUUGAAUCCACUGAGAGAAGAUGAGGCCACUGCCCCUGAGUGGGGUGCAGGGCUUAGAGUUACCCCAGCUCAGGCCUGUCUCCUCCACCCUGUGGGACCUCAGACCCAUCACUGCAGUGCUCAGGACCUCAGUUUUUUUAUUUGGACAUGGAAGACACGAACAGCUCUGCUGGUGGCGGGACACGGUUGUGACCAGCUUGGGGGAAGAAGAGGCCCCAAGGGCCUUUCUGUCCUCCAAGAUUGCAUGGGCAGUGAGGAGAGCCUGCAGGGGGCACAGGGUGGGCUGUGCUCCCAGCAGCCCCUCCAGCUUUUCCCCCUCCUUCUUCAUGUAAGCUCUUUCCUUGACAGACCUUGCUCCUCACAGCCCUCUCUGGUCAUAUUUAUUUUAUUCUAUGGCUUUGAUCUGUAAAAUGUCUGGAAAAUCCUUUCUCAGAAGGUGCUGGCUUCUGCCUCUCUCGUUAGUAGUAAAAUUCGGUGUGUAAGCAUUUCAUGGACUCUUGGUACAUUUUUUAUUACGGAGGCCCAU